rnacentral:rRNA from 1 species
GAUGAACGCUGGCGGCGUGCCUAAUACAUGCAAGUCGAGCGAACAGAUGAGGAGCUUGCUCCUCUGACGUUAGCGGCGGACGGGUGAGUAACACGUGGAUAACCUACCUAUAAUACUGGUAUAACUUCGGGAAACCGGAGCUAAUACCGGAUAAUAUAUUGAACCGCAUGGUUCAAUAUUGAAAUACGGUUUUUCUGUCACUUUUAGAUUUAUCCGCGCCGCAUUAGCUAGUUGGUAAGGUAACGGCUUACCAAGGCAACGAUGCGUAGCCGACCUGAGAGGGUGAUCGGCCACACUGGAACUGAGACACGGUCCAGACACCUACGGGAGGCAGCAGUAGGGAAUCUUCCGCAAUGGGCGAAAGCAUGACGGAGCAAAGCCGCGUGAGUGAUGAAGGUCUGCGGAUCGUAAAACUCUGUUAUUAGGGAAGAACAAAUGUGUAAGUAACUAUGCACGUAUUGACGGUACCUAAUCAGAAAGCCACGGCUAACUACGUG